CGAGAGCGAGCAGGACCAAGGAUGAGGGCCACUUUCACCUCUUCCUCCUGCAUUCUUCCCAAGCAUUGAUUCUGUCCAAGACUCCAGAUCUGAGGCAGUCUUCUUGUUUUUGGCAUCAUUAGAAUAAAAUCUUGUCUCCUCCUCCAUGAAAAAAAAAUAAAAAGAGUACUUGCUGUUGGAAGUUGGCAGCUGCAACAGCAACAGCAGUGUAAACUCUACGAAGAGGGAGGUGACUGUUUUAUUCUUUGUGAUCCUCGGGGCCCCGGGGUGUAGAGGAAAGAGGCUUUGGAACCAGCCACACCUGGUGCUGACUCUCAUUUACCAGCUGAGCCUUGGUUUUUUGCAUCUGCAAAGUGGGAUCAUAACGCAGCUGCUCCGCAUAACUGCCGAGAGCAUCAGAAGAGAAAAUGUGCCUGAGACUAGGAGCGUACGAUAAAUGUGAUUCAUUUUAUGAUUUUGUGAUCACUUUGGCUUUAGCUUGCUCUGAGCGCUGUUCUUUAUCUUUCCACCAGUUCCCUUACUGACCCUAAUGUUUUCGUUAUUGCCCACCCCCUUCCCCUGCUUGCUUCUGUCAGGGUGUGUCUAGAGCCCCACAUAAUGUGGCCUCGUUGGAAAAUGGAAUGAAAAGUAAUGGGCAAAUGCCAGGAGGAGGGAGUCAGGAAAUAGGGAAUACCUUCCAUCACCCUGUUCUCUAGAACUAGAAUAUGAAAUAUUCAUUUAAGUCAAGUGAAAGACAUCGCGAACUUGAUGUUCUUGCUGAGUUCCAGAAGCACACUGCUGAUAAGAGACAAAUCAGAAAUUCGAGUUUUUCCCCAAGGGCUGCCAAGAUGUGUGUUUCCAGGGGGGCUGGUCUUUCCCUGCGGGUCAGUUAGGCUCUUCCUGAAGCAUAAAUUUGGAUGGAAAUGAUGACUGCGUCUGAUGAGGCCCUGAGAGCCCACUGUUGGGAUUUGGGAAAGGUAUUUGACGUCCCGUUUAUUUGAACCAUGUGAAAACCCACUUUGCAGUGUGUCAGGUUGCUCUUCAGCAAUGAGGGGGCCGGAAACGGAUAUUGACUCAGUGGAUUUCAAAUGUAGAUCAGCUGGCCAGAGUGGGUGGUUACCCUGGAUGAAAAGACUCACAGAGCUGUGGACUCACAGCAGGAAGAGCCCCUAGACAUCUUCAGGAACUGUUUUUUUUUUUUUUUUUUCCCAGGUAAGGAUACUAAAGCCCAGAGAAGGGUGUUUACUUGUUCAAAGUCACACAGCUUUAUCCAAAAGUAAAGCACGGAAGAAAUUUGGUAGGCUUUGCGGUCAGAGAGAGUUGGGUUCAAAUCCUGGAUCUGUCAUUAUGUUCCGUGGCAUAAUCCAGCACAGAGGAGUGAAAGGAAUUCUGGGUUAAAUCCCAUUAUGGCGGUAAGAGAGAACAUUAUGAAGACAGACAUCCCAGGUGGAGACCCAACCCUGCCACUUCCUGGCUGUGUCAAAUUGGUGCGUGGGUGCCCUGCUCAGACGCCCCUCAGAGGAGGUAGAGGACUUGUCCCAGCUGUUGGCAGUGCUGGCGGCCCCUUGAGGGACUGACUGCCUGAGUUGUGAGGAGUCCUCUUGCCCAAGAUGUCGACCUCAGGAGCACUCCUCGAUAAACCUCCUGCGCUUGAAACUCCAUUUUGAAGUCUGCUUCCUGUGGAGCCCAACCUGUGACGCUUUGUUCUGUUUUUAAAUAGAUUCUACUCUGACCUUCCUCCUCACUGGCAAUAAUGCCAGUCGCCAUUUAUCAAGUGCCCAUAUGAGAGAGAAGGUGUAUGAAUGCGGGAGAGAGGCAGAGGGAAAGAGAGAGAGAGAACCCUAAUC